GCAGUCGACGCGAGAGAGUUCAUCCUGGCUCCGGCCAGAGGAUGGCGCCGAAGGGGCAACUCCCCGGAACCUCUCAGGCACCCGGACCGCGUAUCGACC
rnacentral:ncRNA from 1 species